UUUCCGUAGGUGAACCUGCGGAAGGAUCAUUAAUGAGUUGUCAUGGGGUUCGAUGCUGGCAGCCAAUUUUUGGAUGCAUGUGCUUGCCCUAACAAUCAUCUUCCAAACACCUGUGCACAUUUUUGAGGGAGUCUUGAGUUGGUUGCCGCUCUUGGGUGAUUUUCUCACAUUCCCUUAAAUCAUUAUACGCUAUUAACAAUGUUGAACGUGCUCUGUGCCGCAAGGCUAUUAAUAUAAUACAACUUUUAACAACGGAUCUCUUGGCUCUCGCAGCGAUGAAGAACGCAGC
rnacentral:misc_RNA from 1 species